AAGUCGUAACAAGGUUUCCGUAGGUGAACCUGCGGAAGGAUCAUUACAAAUUUGGUCUUUACCGACCAUCUCAACCAACUGUUGUGAAACUUACCCGAGACUGGUGGGAGCUGCUGGCAUGUUUGAAAGGAUUGUAGUUGUUUGUUUGACUAGUGUGGUAACGCGCAUGUUGAACGCACGCUCCAAUCUCACAGGCAUAUCAGCAGUGACCACCGUCAUUUGUUUACCAAACCUUACUUUAAUAUACAUACCUAAACCCGUAAACUGGAAACAGAUUACACACACACAAAUACAACUUUUAGCAACGGAUCUCUAGGCUCUC
rnacentral:misc_RNA from 1 species